rnacentral:ncRNA from 1 species
UUUCCCUCAGAAUAGCUGGAAUACGUAAUGAAGCUGUUUUAUUCGGUAAAAGCGUUUGAUUGGAAGAAUUGUGGGACGAAAAAUUUUCAAUCUGUUCUCCGAUUUUCAAAUGAGUAUGACAUCUUGUUUGCUUGAAUGAAGCAUAGACAUUGAAUGUGUGCUCCAAGUGAACCAUUUUCAGUAAGGAAAAUUAUGAAUGAA